AGUGAACGCUGGCGGUAGGCCUAACACAUGCAAGUCGAACGGCAGCACAGUAAGAGCUUGCUCUUACGGGUGGCGAGUGGCGGACGGGUGAGGAAUACAUCGGAAUCUACUUUUUCGUGGGGGAUAACGUAGGGAAACUUACGCUAAUACCGCAUACGACCUACGGGUGAAAGCAGGGGAUCUUCGGACCUUGCGCGAUUGAAUGAGCCGAUGUCGGAUUAGCUAGUUGGCGGGGUAAAGGCCCACCAAGGCGACGAUCCGUAGCUGGUCUGAGAGGAUGAUCAGCCACACUGGAACUGAGACACGGUCCAGACUCCUACGGGAGGCAGCAGUGGGGAAUAUUGGACAAUGGGCGCAAGCCUGAUCCAGCCAUACUGCGUGGGUGAAGAAGGCCUUCGGGUUGUAAAGCCCUUUUGUUGGGAGAGAAAAGCAGCAGGUUAAUACCCCGCUGUUCUGACGGUACCCAAAGAAUAAGCACCGGCUAACUUCGUG
rnacentral:rRNA from 1 species